rnacentral:rRNA from 1 species
CCUACGGGUGGCUGCAGUGGGGAAUAUUGCACAAUGGGGGAAACCCUGAUGCAGCGACGCCGCGUGAGUGAAGAAGUAAUUCGUUAUGUAAAGCUCUAUCAGCAGGGGAGAAAAUGACGGUACCUGAGUAAGAAGCCCCGGCUAACUACGUGCCAACAGCCGCGGUAAUACGUAGGGGGCAAGCGUUAUCCGGAUUUACUGGGUGUAAAGGGAGCGUAGACGGGAGUGCAAGUGUGGAGUGAAAGGCGGGGGCUCAACCCCAGGACUGCCAUGGAUACUGUACGACUGGAGUGCAGGAGAGGUAAGUGGAAUUCCUGGUGUAGCGGUGAAAUGCGUAGAUAUCAGGAGGAACACCAGUGGCGAAGGCGGCUUACUGGACUGUAACUGACGUUGAGGCUCGAAAGCGUGGGGAGCAAACAGGAUUAGAUACCCUAGUAGUC